CCUACGGGAGGCAGCAGUGAGGAAUAUUAGUCAAUGGACGAGAGUCUGAACCAGCCAAGUAGCGUGAAGGAUGACUGCCCUAUGGGUUGUAAACUUCUUUUAUAUUGGAAUAAAAUGUUCCACGUGUGUGAUUUUGUAUGUACCAUAUGAAUAAGGAUCGGCUAACUCCGUGCCCGCAGCCGCGGUAAUACGGAGGGUCCAAGCGUUAUCCGGAUUUAUUGGGUUUAAAGGGAGCCGAGGUGGAUUGUUACGUCAGUUGUGAAAGUUUGCGGCUCAAACGUACAAUUGCAGUUGAAACUGGCAGUCUGGAGUACAGUAGAGGUGGGCGGAAUUCGUGGGGUAGCGGUGAAAUGCUUAGAUAGCACGAAGAACUCCGAUUGCGAAGGCAGUUCACUGGACUGCAACUGACACUGAGGCUCGAAAGUGUGGGUAUCAAACAGGAGUAGAUACCCGAGUAGUC
rnacentral:rRNA from 1 species